AUACGGAAGGUCCUGGCGUUAUCCGGAUUUAUUGGGUUUAAAGGGAGCGCAGGCCGGUGUGUAAGCGUGACGUCAAAUACAGCCGCUCAACGGUUGUCCGCGUCGCGAACUGCACGCCUUGAGUACGCUGCAAGUGGGCGGAAUUCGUGGUGUAGCGGUGAAAUGCUUAGAUAUCACGAAGAACUCCAAUUGCGAAGGCAGCCCGCUGUCGCGUGACUGACGCUGAGGCUCGAAGGUGCGGGUAUCGAACAGGAUUAGAAACGCCGGUACUCCGCACUGUAGAGGAUGUUCACCCGAUGUGUGGCCUGUCAUGGUUGCGCGGUCAAGCGCAAGCAUUAAGGAUCCAACCUGGGGAGUACGCCGUCACCGGUGAAGCUGACAGGAAUUGACGGGG
rnacentral:rRNA from 1 species